CCGCUUACUCCCCCUCCCGCUCUUCCCCAAUCCGUGCGCCUGCGCACCGGGGGUGGGCGUGGCCGGGGAAGCUCCGGCGCUAGGCUCCUCCUCCCCGCCUCGCUUUCGCUUUCACUUUCCCAAGUGCCGAGGGUUCUUCUUGCUCUUGGGGUACCUGGAAAAAGAAAAGGGAGGCUUUGCGCUUUUCCCUGGCCGCUGGAAGCUGGACGUUAAUGCCCGCGCCCCGCGAGCCCGGCUAGAUCAGAGACCUAUUUCUCUGCUUGAGUCCUUGCAGCUUUUGUCCUUGACUUCUGCCUCUGCUUUCUUCAGCCUCCAGCCAGCUCCGACUCGUGGCUUCUCAAUCUCCAACUGAGUGCUGAUGUUGGAUAACCAUGUAAUCAUUCAUUUGGAGAAACAUUUACUUUUACAUGAAGAAAUUGAAAUAGGU
rnacentral:lncRNA from 1 species